CUGGUUGAUCCUGCCAGUAGUCAUAUGCUUGUCUCAAAGAUUAAGCCAUGCAUGUCUAAGUACAUGCCGUAUUAAGGCGAAACCGCGAAUGGCUCAUUAAAUCAGUUAUGGUUCCUUGGAUCGUACCUUACUACUUGGAUAACUGUGGCAAUUCUAGAGCUAAUACAUGCAGCAGAGCUCCGACCCUCUGGGGACGAGCGCUUUUAUUAGACCAAAACCAAUCGGACCUCGUGUCCGUAUUAUGUGGUGACUCUGUAUAACUUUGGGCUGAUCGCACGGGCUCGUCCCGGCGACGUAUCUUUCAAGUGUCUGCCUUAUCAACUGUCGAUGGUAGGUUACGCGCCUACCAUGGUCGUAACGGGUGACGGGGAAUCAGGGUUCGAUUCCGGAGAGGGAGCCUGAGAAACGGCUACCACAUCCAAGGAAGGCAGCAGGCGCGCAAAUUACCCACUCCCAGAACGGGGAGGUAGUGACGAAAAAUAACAAUACGGGACUCUUUUGAGACCCCGUAAUUGAAAUGAGUACACUCUAAAUCCUUUAACGAGGAUCAAUUGGAGGACAAGUCUGGUGCCAGCAGCGGCGGUAAUUCCAGCUCCAAUAGCGUAUAUG
rnacentral:ncRNA from 1 species